AUGUUUGUGAAAUUGUUUUUGCCAAGUGACAAGAAGGACAGAUGCUUCAGAUUACCUAUUCUGGACGAGAGCUGCCCGUGUAAGUUGUUGGUAGAUAGCCGCAGCGCUGUCAGAUUACUGCACGAGUAUAUGCUUUCUGGAACUGUGCCGGAUAAGUUGUUGGAAUCUAGAUCUAAAGUUUUUAGUUUUGGAAGAUUGGAGAAAUUGACAUUGUCUCUUGAACAGGCCUAUAUAAUCUGGUAUCUUGCCACUGAAUCGGUUCCCUCCAAGAUCAAGGGUUACGAGAUUUCUGAGGCUGACCAUGUUUGCAGUAUCAAGAACUCCAUGUAA
rnacentral:rRNA from 1 species